rnacentral:lncRNA from 1 species
GAGCACAGUGCCUCCUCCUGCUCCUCCAGGAAGCUUCUGCUGAUUGAACGCAGGCCAGAUGGCGAGAUCCGGAGCAACCUUCUUAGAUCAAGGGAAGAAAGGGGCACAAGAGGGGAGUAGGUAACAAGAUAAAAGGAGCUCCCUCCCUGAUGACUACAGAGCCAUCGUGGCAGCCCUGGGCCUCCAUUUCAGACGUUCAUCUUGCCUAAGCCACCACCAUCAGGGUCUCAGUCAGUCAUCAUUCUCAUUUACUCGGGUGGCUGGGUGAGGGCGGAAUACUACCUUCCAGCUGUCUGAGAUUAAGCCUAAGCCACCACCAUCAGGGUCUCAGUCAGUCAUCAUUCUCAUUUACUCGGGUGGCUGGGCGAGGGCGGAAUACUACCUUCCAGCUGUCUGAGAUUAAGCAGAACAGCAGCUAAAGCAGUAACAGCAGGUCUCCUUCAGCAGCUUGCCACAGGGAAGAGGGUCCCGCGUGAACCGAACUCAACUUCCACCUGCGCAGAGGCUGGAGUAUAGUGGCAUGAUCAUAGAUCACUGCAGCCUCAAACUCCUGGGCUCAAGCGAUCCUCCCACCUCAGCCUCCAUAUAGCUGGUGGGGACCAAGUUUCUAACACAUGAAUGUUGGGAGACACAUUCAGACCAUCGCAGUGGCCUUAUAAAAAGAGACACAAGAGCUUGCUCUCUGCCAUGUGAGAAUACCACAAGAAGACUGUCCUCAGCAAAUCAGAAAGCGGGUGGACCCUCAUCAGACACCAGAUGUGCCUGCACCUUGAUCUUGGACUUGCCAGCCUUCAGAACAGUAAGAAAGAAAUGUGUGUUGUUUAAGCCACCCAGUCUAUGGUAACUUGCUAUAGCAGCCCACUAGGAGACCCCAAGAUAUUUAAAAACUCAUCAGCACCUGCUUUCUGCAUCUGGACCCUGAUCUUCUGGUGGGUUUACCAGUUACUUGUAGAGUGUCCCUGUGAUAGUUUUAGGUGUCAACUUGACAGGAUUGAGGGAUGCCUAGAUGGCUGGGGAAGCACUGUUUCUGAGAAGGACCAUGUUUUUGGAGGAGACUGUUUUAUGAGUGAAUUUCAGGGGACACAUUCAGAUCAUGGCAGUGGCAUUAUAAAGAGAGACACAAAAGCUUGCUCUCUCUCUCUGCCAUGUAAGACUACCACACAAAGACUGCCAUCUGCAAACCAGAAGCAGGUGGGCCUUCCAACUUGGAUCAGGCCAUGCCACCGGCUUCUCUGAUUCUCCAGCUUGCAGAUGGUAUAUUGUGACCCUGGCAUUUAAUAACUAUGACUUUGGUCUUAAGCAAUUUUCUUCCUCUGUGGAUUGAUAUUUACAUAUCAAUGUGGAUAAUAAUUUCUUACCACGGUAACUGUUGUGAGGUAAAAAUGAGUUAACAUAAGUAAAACCGAGCACAUGCAAACCAUCCGAAAUGGUUAAUACUUACUAUUUGUACUUGAAGAAAUAAAUGUUUUUGACAAUAAACUUCUUGUGCAGUUUUCCU